UGCCAGCAGCCGCGGUAACAAGAACUGUGCGAACGUUAUUCGGAAUCACUGGGCUUAAAGGGUGCGUAGGCGGUUCUAUAGGUCAGAUGUGAAAGCCCACGGCUCAACCGUGGAAUUGCGUUUGAAACCAUAGGACUUGAGUAAGAUAGAGGUAAGCGGAACUGAUGGUGGAGCGGUGAAAUGCGUUGAUAUCAUCAGGAACACCGGUGGCGAAAGCGGCUUACUGGGUCUUUACUGACGCUGAGGCACGAAAGCUAGGGGAGCGAACGGGAUUAGAUA
rnacentral:rRNA from 1 species